rnacentral:rRNA from 1 species
GAUGAACGCUAGCGGCAGGCCUAACACAUGCAAGUCGAGGGGCAUCGCGGUGCAGCAAUGCACUGGCGGCGACCGGCGUACGGGUGCGUAACGCGUAUGCAACCUGCCCCGCACCGGGGGAUAGCCCGCCGAAAGGCGGAUUAAUACCCCAUGGUCCCGGGGGCCCGCAUGGGCAUCCGGGUAAAGCCUUGGCGGUGCGGGAUGGGCAUGCGUGCCAUUAGCUGGCUGGUGGGGUAACGGCCCACCAGGGCAACGAUGGCUAGGGGGUCUGAGAGGAUGGUCCCCCACACUGGUACUGAGACACGGACCAGACUCCUACGGGAGGCAGCAGUGAGGAAUAUUGGUCAAUGGGCGGAAGCCUGAACCAGCCAUGCCGCGUGCGGGAUGAAGGCCCUACGGGUUGUAAACCGACUUUUCCCCGGGAAGAAUAACCCCGAUGAGUCGGGGAUGCCGGUACCGGGGGAAUAAGGAUCGGCUAACUCCGUG